CCAAUCGAACUCGGAGAUAGCUGGUUCUCCCCGAAAUAGCUUUAGGGCUAGCCUCGUUUUAAAUUACCGGGGGUAGAGCACUGAAUGGGCUAGGGGGCCACAAAGCUUACCGAACCCUAUCAAACUUCGAAUACCGGAUAAUUGAUGAACGGGAGUCAGACGGCGGGAGAUAAGUUUCGUCGUCAAAAGGGAAACAGCCCAGAUCUACGACUAAGGUCCCGAAAUCACAGUUAAGUGGAAAAGGAUGUGCAGUUGCACAGACAACCAGGAUGUUGGCUUAGAAGCAGCCACUCAUUUAAAGAGUGCGUAAUAGCUCACUGGUCGAGUGAUUGUGCGCCGAAAAUGUACCGGGGCUAAACUGUGUACCGAAGUCUAGGGAUGUGGCAACACAUCGGUAGGGGAGCAACGUAUACGGGCAGAAGCCGAAGCGGAAGCGACGGUGGACUGUAUGGGAGAGAGAAUGCCGGCAUGAGUAGCGAGAGCAAAGUGAGAAUCUUUGCCGUCGAAAGCCUAAGGUUUCCUGAGGAAGGCUCGUCCACUCAGGGUAAGUCAGGACCUAAGCCGAGGACAGAAGUCGUAGGCGAUGGACAACUGGUUGAUAUUCCAGUACCACCUCAAGCGAUUGACAGAAGCAGUGACACAGAAGGAUAGACAGAGCGCGUGACUGGUAGAGCGCGUCCAAGCGAUGAGGGAGUUAAGUAGUGAAGAACGCUUAACAAUCCUGGGUCGUGAUGGGGACUGAAAAUAAGUAGGGAAGCUGUUGAAUUCACGCUGGCGAGAAAAGCUGCUAAGGAGCGAAAGGGUGCCUGUACCGCAAACCGACACAGGUAGGCGAGGAGAGAAUCCUAAGACGAGCGGGAGAACCCUUGUUAAGGAACUCGGCAAAAUGACCCUGUAACUUCGGGAUAAAGGGAGCCUCGAGAGAGGCCGCAGAGAAUAGGCCCAAGCGACUGUUUACCAAAAACACAGGUCUGUGCGAAGUAGAGAUACGACGUAUACGGGCUGACGCCUGCCCAGUGCCGGAAGGUUAAGGGGAAGUGUUAGGGCAACCGAAGCACGGAACUUAAGCCCCGGUGAACGGCGGCCGUAACUAUAACGGUCCUAAGGUAGCGAAAUUCCUUGUCGGGUAAG
rnacentral:rRNA from 1 species